ensembl:lncRNA
AAAAGAAAGAGAGGCUGGUGAUGUUAUGGCUAUUUAUAUCUGCUAUAACUUAAAUGAUAACAAGAACUAGAUUGUUUCAUGGAUGAUCCACAACAUUAAAUACGACUAUAAACAGUUAAAACGUAUGCCGUGUGGUUCUUACUGCAGUAAAUUGAUGGCGCAAGCAUCCAUACAAGAGUGCUGAUAUUUAGUAUAACUGCACUGGCCCAUUUCACCGCUUGUAUAACUCCACUUGUCUGUGUUCUACAUAAAAUUACAAUUCUAGCACCUGUUCAUUAUUAUCGAAACCGUCGCUACACUUAUUCCGUGGCUUCUUUGGAAACUACUGUGUCUGAAAUGUCAGUGACUCGAUAUGAAUCUCUUGGUUAAAGAACUCUUGCAAGAAAACACUCAAUUAUGAUUACCUGCCGCCUCCUGCCUAUACAGCCGAACCGCAGGUGCGUUGAUGUUCACUAAAACAGCACUGUUGUACAUGUGAUACUGGUUAUAAACACAACAAUGUAAUCAUUGGCAAACAGUAGUGGUGUCAGAAGAACAAAAUACUUCAGCAUGGGCUUUUAUAAUAAAAUGACCAACUUCAGGAUGGUCAGCUGAAUCAAACCACCCUACUAGCACAGGGGUUUUUAUUCCUCAUUACAUGUUAGCUUCUCUGCCCAUGUGUGUAUGGUGAUGCAGUCAUAAAAGGGCAUAAAAGUCAUUACAUAUGAAAAAAAGGAAGGAUAAGUGAUAUUAAUAUAGAGCAACUGUAUGCAGUAGGCCAAGGACAGGACAAUGUAGUGUCAUUGUUGGCUUUAAGAGGUUAGCUCAUAUUCUAAACAUUAAACAAGUCGCUUUUAAUCGCUUUAAUUCAUUUGCAACUUUUUUCGUUUCAGCUAAUGCUCAGUUCUCCAUCAGUCUGGGCUUUAAUCAGCUCUCCAACGCGACAGAUGGUUUAUAACUUCAUUUAUUCAUCUUAAGUGCUUUAGCGGAAGCUUCAUGGAGAGCCUUCGAGGAAGAGAAAACACGGCCUAAUAAAGGCGUCCAGGGGAUUGAUGUUUCAAAUAUAAACUUACACUAGUGUUGUAUACGCUAAUAUAAAAACUAAUAUUUGAUAUAUUUGUUAAAUCUUACCGUGGUUGUAGCUGUGUUGGCUAACUAACGUUACUCAUAAAGCUGGCCUGAGCCACAUGAGGAGACAGGAAAGUUACUCUAACUAUGGGCUAGUAACUAGUUAGUCUAUUACUGACUGUUUAGUGAUGGUUUACAUCGAUUCAGCGGGGAUUAUCCCACCAAAAUAUCUCUAGUUAUCUCCAAACAACCACCACGUCGCUGCAUAAUAACAGACAGAGGUCUGACUAGUUAGCUAGCCACCGUUACUUACAAUAAGAAGCUCAUUUCCGUUAACUUUGCUUCGAGCGAAGCUUCCAGACAGCGUGAAGUCGAGGAUUCCCAACAGAAAUUCUUCACCCAAGUCUUGUUUAAGGAUCAAACCGAUGUAAACAACGUAGUCCCAAAGUUUCAAAACUUUAAUCUAAGCGAACAUGAAACCGCGCUGGAACAGGAAGUGUUUACAACCGCCGCAGAGAAAAAGGAAACAGCAAAGACGACAGAGUCCGAUGUUGUUGCCAAAAUCGCACAGUAUGAGCUGCUAGUGCGAGUGCAGUUAGAGCUGUUAGUGCGAGUGCAGUUAGAGCUGCG